AAAAGUCCAAAAGGUUCAAAAACAUUUUCUUGCUAUUGUCACUUUACUUUAGUCAGACUAGUGUAGACGGAUAAUAGUGGAACAUAUUGGUGACAUUCACGUAUUAGAUGUUGUUUCAGUAUUGUGCACUCUUCUUCAGAACCUGAGAAAUAUACAAGGGAGGUUAAGAGUUGGAAGCAAGGAGAGACUGACUUUCUCUGGGCAGCUUCAGCUGAACCCUACGCAUUCAACUCACCAGGCAAUAAAAGUUAAAGGCAACUUUUUCCAUCAGCUCCAGGUAAACAAGCUUCUCUCUCUAUCCUCAGAAAAGUGUUUAGGUGUUAAACAAUGUCUGGUUAAAGAGCUGUGUUUGUGUGCAUGAUGCACUGUACGGUGACCGCAGUCACCAGUGCAGUAAAUGAUGUACGUCUGCUGCUGACAGUGAACAGUGUGUUUUACAGUGACAAGGCCAACGUUAUGACCGGUUAAUCUGUUAUUGCUUUUACAGCUGCAGCUCCCCUCCUCUGCUUUAAUAGAGGGAGAUGUACUUUGGACCCCAAAAAACAACAAUAACUUUGAUUACCAGGCCAAAGGGAAACUAAGAAUAGAGCGGCAAGAGUGCCAGGUGAGUAAAGCAAACACCUUCUACAUUUGAUGAGCGGCCAUUUUUUAAUUAACUUCUGGUUUCUAAGGCUUUUGUGUUUGUUUUUUAAAUUCCUGUCAGCUUUCUGUGCAGCUGAAUGGAACAUCAGGCAGAGUUGGUCUGUAUUCAUCUCUUCGUCACCCCUUCAAAUCAAAGAUUCCCAAAACAUUAGAGGCGUCUGCAGACAUGUCGAUGGUGACUGGCAAAGGGAGCAGCUCGGUGCGUGUGAGGGCUGAUGGGAAGGACAAGCUGAAGCUGAAUGCGGACAUGUCCCACUCCAUGCAGAAGGGAGACAGAGGUGUAGGGCUGAGGCUGAACUUAUCCCAGAGCCUGCUACCUACAGCCACGGAUCUACAUGUAAACAUAGCAGGGAACGUGUCCUCAGACAGUGUCUUUCUACGUGGCUCCUUCACGCAAGGAAUGCAGGCUCUGCUGGCCCAGCUCAAGGGGUCUUUGAAACACUCACAGGGGAUCCAGAUGGCUGUGACAGGGGACUUGAGGCAUACCGUGACCAGCCUAGAUUUCCUGCCUUCAGUCCUCGGGUUGGAUGGGGCAUUGGGGCAGUCUGACAGUUUAAUCGAAGGACAGCUGAGAGUUAGAUUGAUGGAGACAGUGUACAGCGUGGAGAUGCGACACCAACGAGAUCCCGGAGAAGCUUUGGAAGGAGAUGAUGAAGAAGGGAUGAUGGGAAAGGGGUCCCACAGGGCCCACGACUGGCUGUGUGUUUGGUCCGGGGAGGAGCAUUUGUGUGUGAAUGCGAGCCGCCAGCGGGGGAGUCGAGGGACAGGAGAGAUCUACACACGACUUUCUCACUCUUUCCAAGUGCUCAGAGCCACAGGUGUACCUCCCAACAGUAGUGUUGAGGUUAAAUGGGCUCAGAAAGGUGAUGGAUUGUCAGUCCUGGGAGAGCUGCAGGUUGGACUUGAACAUCUUAGAGCUGAGUUUCAUGGAGGCAGGACAGACCACGCCAACCCCCAGUGGGUAUUCUCCUCUAGGCUGCAGCACCAAGUGGAAGCCCUGCUUAAAAGAGGCCUGACACCCUCCUUUGAGGCUAAAGCGCAUUACCAGUUAGAAACAGAAGGACUGGACAUGGGCUUGGUCCUUUACAUGCAAGAUGUGAGAGCUGCUGACAUCCUUUUAAAAGUUGGAUCAAGAAAUACAACAACUAUUUUGGUAGUGUCUCUAUGGCAACAGAUGAAGCUGCUCCAAGGACUCGUACCCACUUACUUACAGAUGAACUGCACAGGGGACGUCACCACAGACCGGCUCUCCGCUCACUGCUAUGGAAAUGUGGCAGACAGCCCCGUGGAGGUACGAGCCUUUCGCUCCUAUAGACCACACAACAGGCUCUGCUAUGGCCUGUCGCUUGCUCACUUUAGGCUUAGUGCUCACGCUAAAGCCUGUUACAGUUCCAGUGGACGAAAGGAACUUAGAGCUAACCUCACUCAUUCUUCUGUGCUCUUACUUAAAUAUUUGGGGGUUCCCACCACAUCUGGUGUUAGGUUCCUCCUCCGGCCUGGCCCUGAGAGGUGGGUCCUGGGGAUGGGGAUAGUGGUCAGUCCGUGGAGAGCAGAUUUGAAUGUGGGACUGAGGUUGGAGAGACCUGGGCAGUAUCGCUGGCAUGGGCUUCUUGAGUAUGGAACCCACAGUGUUACUCAAAAGGCUACAGUGACAGGGCGGAUGAGCCUGGAAAGGUGGUGCCACAUCUUGGGAGAUGUUCGUGUAGUAUGGGACUCUCUGAGAUCCAGUCUGGUCGUGUCCCUUCGAUGCACAGGGGUGGGGCGGCUGGUCUGGAGGCAGGUUAAAAGCAUAGAGGGGGGUGGAUCACAUAAAGCCUCUUUAACUGUGCAUGCACAGGGAGGAAAAGAUGGACUCAGAGGAUCUCUGAGCCUUCAAAACCAGCAGGACUUCCUCCAAGGCCUCUUGUCUGUAUUCCUAAAGAACCAUAAAGCUGAGCUGGGAUGGAGACUCCAGCACCAAUGGGCCCACCUUGGAACAAUCAUCCCAAACAGAUUUGACUGUCAUGGCUCAGGUGAGCUUCUUGAUACCUCCCUUGCUGGAAAUGCUCGAAUCUCUGUCAACACCCGCUCUGCACAGAUGAGGAUCACUGCUGCCUGGGAGCCCUUCAGCUCUUUCAGAGCUGUACUUCAGCAAAACCUGCUAGCUACUGCUCGUGUACCACAGGAGCUCACUGUUAGCAUGUCGACCUCAGCAAGGCAAGCCCAGUUUGAGGUGGAAAGUGACGUGUGCUCCAUGCUUCUCCUGACCAGUCAACACAGAGGGGGAACGAGCAGGAGCAGAGGGUGGAUGCUUUUUGCCAGACAGCGAUGUGUCUUACUAAAGGUUAGAGAGGAAACAAGGAGCAGUUGAAGGAAACUUGUUUCCCACCUGAAGGAAAGCAAAAGAAACAUCUUCACUUUGGAGAUGACUCUUUGUUUUCCACUGCAGUGUGAGCUGCAUUGAAAACACCAACACUGAAUAAAAAAAGCUCAGUGGCUUCAAUGAAUGGUAACUUUCUAAGGACUGGUCACUCACAGGGCAGCAUAAACCUUUAGCUGUGAAAUCAGUUAAAUCUAUCCCCAUAACAUGUG
rnacentral:lncRNA from 1 species